UACGGAGGGUGCAAGCGUUGUCCGGAAUCACUGGGCGUAAAGGGCGCGUAGGCGGCCCUGUAAGUCACCUGUGAAAUCCCGGGGCUCAACUCCGGGGCUGCAGGUGAGACUGCGGGGCUAGAGCGCGGGAGAGGCGAGCGGAAUUCCCGGUGUAGCGGUGGAAUGCGUAGAUAUCGGGAAGAACACCAGUGGCGAAGGCGGCUCGCUGGGCCGUUGCUGACGCUGAGGCGCGAAAGCGUGGGGAGCAAACAGG
rnacentral:misc_RNA from 1 species